rnacentral:lncRNA from 1 species
UCUUUAGAAUCCUCUGGUAAUGUUCCGGCAAUAGGCUUUACCUUCUUAUCUGCCGUUUUAUAUCUUGUCUCUACUGUGACUUCUGGUGCUUGAAAAGAUUCAAGCAUGGUAUAAACCUCUCUCGAAUGAAUCUCAACAAUCUUAUCAUUAUCUCCUAACCCAUAGAUGUAAUCAAUUCCAAUGAAUCUUUCUGUCCAUUUUCUUCAUAAACACCUAAAAUCCUCUCAUUUUCUUGCAAUGUACCUAACUUACAUAAUUCUUCUUUAAUAUUAUAUAAUC